rfam:Alligator sinensis unplaced genomic scaffold scaffold502_1, whole genome shotgun sequence
GCUGAGGCUAGAGUCGCAUCUAGAUGCUACCUGUGGUCAUGGUGUGCUAGCGUACGUGGAGAAUAAUGACUGACCUUUAUUCACUGUCUGUUCUUGAUCAGUAGUUCAGUCAGUCACCGGGUUAGUAACAGCC